ensembl:ncRNA lncRNA:CR45248 long non-coding RNA:CR45248
AUUCAGUCAUUUUUCUGGUGCUUAUUCAGUAGAAAAAGACACCCAGACGAGAGAAUAAACUACCGAAAAGCCAAACACCAUGACAUGGACACCAGGCGGAUUCUCGCAGUAGAAGCACCGCUGGUUCAAAUCGACUCAACUCCGCUCGGACUCCGACUUCAGCUCGAACUCCUCCAACUUCCUCCCCCAAAGACCCCGUUGUGCCCGGACUAACCUGCCAAAAACCCCGCCUCCUACAUCUCAAGUGUGUGGAGGAGAUCCAACCAUCGCAUUUUGUAACUCAUGUGCGACAUUAAGUGCUUUGGUUUUUUGACGACGUCGGCGGUGGAGAGUUGAAAAACAAAAGGAAAAACUGACCCGUAAGUCAUCAUAAAUGCAAGUUUAUGGCCACAAUGAAAUGAUGACGGGACUCGCAACUCGCAACUCGGAAUCGGACUUGGAAAUGGAAAUGGAAUAGAGCUUGUCCGCCGGAGGUCGUCGGAGCAAUCCGCUUUACCUACCGACCUACCGCUCGCUCACCGAGCAGCCACAACACCGCCGCUUCUACGAAAUCACAUCAAGAGUUCCCGGGCCCUCGGAGUUCGACUUUGGCGGCCAGGCGGGCGUAACUCUUUAUAGACUCGCAUUUGUAGAUCUAUCUAUUCCGCGGAAAUCACAAAAUGCUACAUAUACUCGUACCCCCAACUCUGGUUGCUUUUAUUUCGUUUUCGGUUUCCCUUGAAUAACGCCAACGCAUUUUCUCGGCUUGCGUUUGGAUAUGGUAUAAAUAUAUAUU